AAACGACUCUCGGCAACGGAUAUCUUGGCUCACGCAUCGAUGAAGAACGUAGCAAAAUGCGAUACUUGGUGUGAAUUGCAGAAUCCCGUGAACCAUCGAGUUUUUGAACGCAAGUUGCGCCCAAAGCCAUCCGGCCGAGGGCACGCCUGCCUGGGCGUCAC
rnacentral:rRNA from 1 species